GACGAACGCUGGCGGCGUGCUUAACACAUGCAAGUCGAACGAUGAACCCGGAGCUUGCUCCGGCGGAUUAGUGGCGAACGGGUGAGUAACACGUGAGUAACCUGCCCUUGACUCUGGGAUAACUGCGGGAAACUGUAGCUAAUAACGGAUACGACCCUCGGCGGCAUCGCCAGGGGGUGGAAAGAAUUUCGGUCAAGGAUGGACUUGCGGGCUCUCAGCUAGUUGGUGAGGUAACGGCGCACCAAGGCGACGACGGGUAGCCGGCCUGAGAGGGUGACCGGCCACACUGGGACUGAGACACGGCCCAGACUCCUACGGGAGGCAGCAGUGGGGAAUAUUGCACAAUGGGCGCAAGCCUGAUGCAGCAACGCCGCGUGAGGGAUGACGGCCUUCGGGUUGUAAACCUCUUUUAGUAGGGAAGAAGCGAAAGUGACGGCACCUGCAGAACAAGCACCGGCUAACUACGUGCCAGCCGCCGCAGUAA
rnacentral:rRNA from 1 species